GACACCAGAGAGAGGCCACUGGGAGACAGAAUGAUGCCGGCAAAACCUCCUGAUGCACCUUUUCAUGGGGGCAGAAGGGAAGCAGCGGCUGUGGAACCAGAUCAGAUUGUGAUGAAUUGGAAAUCGAGAACAAGGAUGAACACGGCAAAAUCCCCAGAGAGGAGAAGCCAUGCAAAAAUUU